rnacentral:rRNA from 1 species
UACGGCUCGUGUCGUGAGAUGUUGGGUUAAGUCCCGUAACGAGCGCAACCCUUGUCCUUAGUUACCAGCACGUUAUGGUGGGCACUCUAAGGAGACUGCCGGUGACAAACCGGAGGAAGGUGGGGAUGACGUCAAGUCAUCAUGGCCCUUACGGCCUGGGCUACACACGUGCUACAAUGGUCGGUACAAAGGGUUGCCAAGCCGCGAGGUGGAGCUAAUCCCAUAAAACCGAUCGUAGUCCGGAUCGCAGUCUGCAACUCGACUGCGUGAAGUCGGAAUCGCUAGUAAUCGUGAAUCAGAAUGUCACGGUAAAUACGUUCCCGGGCCUU